GACGAACGCUGGCGGCGUGCUUAACACAUGCAAGUCGAACGGAAAGGCCCUGCUUUUGUGGGGUGCUCGAGUGGCGAACGGGUGAGUAACACGUGAGUAACCUGCCCUUGACUUUGGGAUAACUUCAGGAAACUGGGGCUAAUACCGGAUAGGAGCUCCUGCUGCAUGGUGGGGGUUGGAAAGUUUCGGCGGUUGGGGAUGGACUCGCGGCUUAUCAGCUUGUUGGUGGGGUAGUGGCUUACCAAGGCUUUGACGGGUAGCCGGCCUGAGAGGGUGACCGGGCCCAAUGGGGCUGAGAGACGGCCCAGGAUCCUACCGGGGGCAGCAGUGGGGAAUAUUGCACAAUGGGCGGAAGCCUGAUGCAGCAACGCCGCGUGCGGGAUGACGGCCUUCGGGUUGUAAACCGCUUUCGCCUGUGACGAAGCGUGAGUGACGGUAAUGGGUAAAGAAGCACCGGCUAACUACGUG
rnacentral:rRNA from 1 species